rnacentral:rRNA from 1 species
CCUACGGGAGGCAGCAGUGAGGAAUAUUGGUCAAUGGACGAGAGUCUGAACCAGCCAAGUAGCGUGAAGGAGGACUGCCCUGUGGGUUGUAAACUUCUUUUAUAAAGGAAUAAAACGAGGCACGUGUGCCUUUUUGCAUGUACUUUAUGAAUAAGGAUCGGCUAACUCCGUGCCAGCAGCCGCGGUAAUACGGAGGAUCCGAGCGUUAUCCGGAUUUAUUGGGUUUAAAGGGAGCGUAGAUGGGUUGUUAAGUCAGGUGUGAAAGGUUGCGGCUCAACCGUAAAAUUGCAAUUGAUACUGGCAGUCUUGAGUACAGUUGAGGUAGGCGGAAUUCGUGGUGUAGCGGUGAAAUGCUUAGAUAUCACGAAGAACCCCGAUUGCGAAGGCAGCUUACUAAACUGUGACUGACAUUGAUGCUCGAAAGUGUGGGUAUCAAACAGGAUUAGAUACCCGAGUAGUC